rnacentral:rRNA from 1 species
UCGAAGGUAGCAUAAUCAGUAGUUUUUUAAUUGAAAGCUUGUAUGAAUGGUUGAAUGAAAUAUUAACUGUUUCUUAAAAAUUUAAUAGAAUUUUAUUUUUUAGUUAAAAAGCUAAAAUUUUUUUUAAAGACGAGAAGACCCUAUAGAGUUUUAUAUUUUAUAAAAUUAAUUUAUUUAAAAAUUGUUUAAUUUUUUUUAAAAAAAUAUUUUGUUGGGGUGAUAAUAAAAUUUAAUAACCUUUUAUUUUAUUUUUACAAUUAUUUUUGAUUAAUUGAUCCAAUUUUAUUGAUUAAAAGAUUAAAUUACCUUAGGGAUAACAGCGUAAUUUUUUUUUAGAGUUCUUAUCGAUAAAAAUUUUUGCGACCUCGAUGUUGGAUUAA